rnacentral:rRNA from 1 species
UCUAUUGUGGUGAAUCAUAGUAACUGAUCGGAUCCCCAACUGGGGAUAGAUCAUUCAAGUUUCUGCCCUAUCAGCUUUCGAUGGUAGUGUAUUGGACUACCAUGGCAGUAACGGGUAACGGAGAAUUAGGGUUCGGUUCCGGAGAGGGAGCCUGAGAAACGGCUACCACAUCUAAGGAAGGCAGCAGGCGCGUAAAUUACCCAAUGCAGAUUCUGCGAGGUAGUGACAAUACAUAACAACCUGGGGUCUCACGACUUACGGGAUUGCAAUGAGAACAAUUUAAAAACCUUAACGAGGAACAAGUGGAGGGCAAGUCUGGUGCCAGCAGCCGCGGUAAUUCCAGCUCCACUAGCGUAUAUUAAAGUUGUUGCAGUUAAAAAGCUCGUAGUUGAACUUCUGGUUGUGCGCCAGUGGUCGGUCAUCGAUCGCCCUGGGUGCAGCCAUCCGUCUGCAAACUUUUACAUCCUUAACUGGUUUGUCUAAGGGAGCAGGCAUUUUACUUUGAAAAAAUUAGAGUGUUUAAGGCAGGCACUAGCCGCUGAAUACAUUAGCAUGGAAUAAUGGAAUAGGACGCUUUGUCCAUUUGAUUGGUUAUUGGACUUGCGUAAUGAUUAAUAGGGACAGUUGGGGGCAUUAGUAUUUAAUUGUCAGAGGUGAAAUUCUUGGAUUUAUUAAAGACUAACUUAUGCGAAAGC